rnacentral:rRNA from 1 species
GGGCUGUUCGCCCAUUAAAGCGGUACGCGAGCUGGGUUCAGAACGUCGUGAGACAGUUCGGUCCCUAUCCGUCGUGGGCGUAGGAAAUUUGAGAGGAGCUGUCCUUAGUACGAGAGGACCGGGAUGGACAUACCUCUGGUGUACCAGUUGUCGUGCCAACGGCAUAGCUGGGUAGCUAUGUGUGGACGGGAUAAGUGCUGAAAGCAUCUAAGCAUGAAGCCCCCCUCAAGAUGAGAUUUCCCAACUUCGGUUAUAAGAUCCCUCAAAGAUGAUGAGGUUAAUAGGUUCGAGGUGGAAGCAUGGUGACAUGUGGAGCUGACGAAUACUAAUCGAUCGAAGACUUAAUCAA